rnacentral:rRNA from 1 species
UACGUAGGGGGCUAGCGUUGUCCGGAAUCAUUGGGCGUAAAGCGCGUGUAGGCGGUUCGGUAAGUCCGCUGUGAAAGUCGGGGGGCUCAACCCUCGAAUGCCGGUGGAUACUGUCGGGCUAGAGUGCGGAAGAGGCGAGUGGAAUUCCUGGUGUAGCGGUGAAAUGCGCAGAUAUCAGGAGGAACACCAAUUGCGAAGGCAGCUCGCUGGGACGUAACUGACGCUGGAGACGCGAAAGCGUGGGGAGCAAACAGG